rnacentral:rRNA from 1 species
GACGAACGCUGGCGGCGUGCUUAACACAUGCAAGUCGAACGGAAAGGCCCUGCUUUUGUGCGUUGCUCGAGUGCCGAACGGGUGAGUAACACGUGAGUAACCUGCCCUUGACUUUGGGAUAACUUCAGGAAACUGGGGCUCAUACCCGAUAUGAGCUCCUGCUGCAUGGUGGUCGUUGGAAAGUUUCGGCGGUUGGGGCUCGACUCGCGGCUUAUCAGCUUGAUGGUCUGGUAGUGGCUUACCAAGGCUUUGACGGGUAGCCGGCCUGAGAGGGUGACCGGGGACAUGGGGACUGAGAGACGCCGCAGAAGCGUACGGGAGGCAGCAGGGGGGAACAUGGCGGAAUGGGGGGAAGUCUGAUGCAGCAACGCCGCGUGCGUGAUGAUGGGUUACGGGUGGUAAACAGAUGUCGCAGGUGAUGAAGAGGGAGUGACGGUAAUGGGUAAAAAAGCAACGGCUAACUACGUG